UAACAAGGAUUCCCCUAGUAACUGCGAGUGAAGCGGGAAAAGCUCAAAUUUAAAAUCUGGUAGUCUCUGGCUGCCCGAGUUGUAAUCUAGAGAAGUGUUAUCCGCGCUGGACCGUGUAUAAGUCUCCUGGAAUGGAGCGUCAUAGAGGGUGAGAAUCCCGUCUUUGACACGGACUACCAGGGCUUUGUGAUGCGCUCUCAAAGAGUCGAGUUGUUUGGGAAUGCAGCUCUAAAUGGGUGGUAAAUUCCAUCUAAAGCUAAAUAUUGGCGAGAGACCGAUAGCGAACAAGUACCGUGAGGGAAAGAUGAAAAGAACUUUGGAAAGAGAGUUAAACAGUACGUGAAAUUGUUGAAAGGGAAACGCUUGAAGUCAGUCGCGUUGGCUAGGAAUCAGCCUUGCUUUUGCUUGGUGUACUUCCUUGUUGACGGGUCAGCAUCAAUUUUGACCGGUGGAAAAAGGCUAGUGGAAUGUGGCAUCUUCGGAUGUGUUAUAGCUGCUAGUUGUAUACAUCGGUUGGGAUUGAGGAACUCAGCACGCCGAAAGGUCGGGGUUCGCCCACGUUCGUGCUUAGGAUGCUGGCAUAAUGGCUUUAAUCGACCCGUCUUGAAACACGGACCAAGGAGUCUAACAUGCCUGCGAGUGUUUGGGUGGAAAACCCGAGCGCGUAAUGAAAGUGAAAGUUGAGAUCCCUGUCGUGGGGAGCAUCGACGCCCGGACCU
rnacentral:rRNA from 1 species